CCUACGGGUGGCUGCAGUCGGGAAUCUUGCACAAUGGGGGAAACCCUGAUGCAGCGACGCCGCGUGGGGGAAUGAAGUCCUUGGGUUGUAAAACCCUUUUCUUGUGGGAGCAAAUGAAAAAGAUAGAACCACAAGAGUAAGAGACGGCUAACGCUGUGCCAGCAGCCGCGGUAAUACAGAGGUCGCAAGCGUUGUUCGGAAUCAAUUGGCGGAAAGCGUGUGUAGGCUGUUUCGUAAGUCGUGUGUGAACGGCGCGGGCUGAAGCCGCGGACGGCACAUGAUACUGGGAGACUAGAGUAAAGGAGAGGGAAGUGGAAUUCCUGGUGUAGCAGUGAAAUGCGUAGAUAUCGGGAGGAACACUCGUGGCGAAGGCGGGUUUCUGGACAUUAACUGACGCUGAGGCACGAAGGCGAGGGGAGCGAACAGGAUUAGAUACCCGGGUAGUC
rnacentral:rRNA from 1 species